UACGUAGGGUGCGAGCGUUGUCCGGAAUUACUGGGCGUAAAGAGCUCGUAGGUGGUUUGUCGCGUUGUUCGUGAAAACUCACAACUCAAUUGUGGGCGUGCGGGCGAUACGGGCAGACUAGAGUACUGCAGGGGAGACUGGAAUUCCUGGUGUAGCGGUGGAAUGCGCAGAUAUCAGGAGGAACACCGGUGGCGAAGGCGGGUCUCUGGGCCGAUACUGACGCUGGAGGUGCGGAAAGCCGUGGGGAGCAAACAGG
rnacentral:rRNA from 1 species